rnacentral:lncRNA from 1 species
AAAAAGAGAAAAAGAGAAAAGGAGGGAAGGAGGAGAGCGGAGACGAAGAAGAAGAGGAAAGUUCCAGAAGGAGAGAGGAGAGAGUCGGGGCGGAGGGGAGCGAGAAGGGAGAGGGAAGGAGGCCGUGGACGGACGACGCGACCGGCAGGAAGAAGGAGGAUGGAAACGGGAGGUACGGUGAAAAUUUGAGUUGUUUGGUGUGGUGUGUGUGUGUAGAGAAAUUUGGUUGCAGGUUGCGGCGUCGGCAAUGGCGCGACGGAGUGGAACAAUGAAGGUAGGCCGUAAGCGUGGGGUUGUCCCGCGCGCUCACGGAGGUGAUCGGGGAAGGAAGGGAAAGUAUGGCGGUGUUGGAGGCGUGUGGGGGGGGGGGCCGUGGGGAAGGAUGGGGGUGGUACGGGUAGAACAGAGUGAGGAGGAUGUGAGAGAACAAUCUAGGGGCGCGGGUGGGAUAAAAACUCGAGAGGACAGAAGAGGUGUGUGUGUGGUGUGUGCGUGGGUGGGGAUGUGGAGGGAGUCGUUAAUAGGCGGUGAUGUGUUUCCCCGAAAUGCCCGGUGGUGAGGGCGUGUAUGUGGCGUGAAACGGUGCAAGCUGAGAGGUUAAUCGCCCUAGGUAGGCAAAAGUGUAUAGGAACCGGGAGGAGGCAGGAGGAUGGGGGAGGUAGUGGGUAGGGGGCAGUGGGAGAGGGAAGGGAGCUGGAAGGUACGGCAGAGGGGACUAGGAAGCAGGAUUUGAGGGGGAUUGGAUGGGAGAAGAAGAGUAAUGUGGUCAGUAGGAGUUAGUAAGUUAGAAUGCUUGGGACUAGCAUGGUACAAGGGGAGAUUUGGAGACCGUUGGUAGGGGCGGGCUGAGUUGCCGAUGUUGGUGGAGCAGGGAGGGGAUAUGUAUGUGAGUGUGGCCUAGCAAGGCCGAGAGGGGUAGAAGGGUGCAUGAUUCACGGAAGGUGGUGACGGGAGGUGGAAGUGUUUGUGUGUGUGCGUGGCCCAACGAGGUCGAGAGAUGGAGGAGUGAGUAUGAGUCGCCGAUGUUGGUGACGCGAGAGGAUGGUCUUUGUGUGUGUGUGUGGCCUCUUUAGGUCGAGAGGUCGAGGAGUGAGUAUGAGUCGCCGAUGUUGGUGACGCGAGACGAUGGUAUUUGUGUGUGUGUGUGGCCUCUUUAGGUCGAGAGGUGGAGGAGUGAGUGUGAGUCGCCGAUGUUGGUGACGCGGAAUAAUGGUGUGUGGGUGUGUGCGUGGCCUAUUAGGUCGAGAGGUGGAGAUAUAGAUGUGAGUCGCCGAUAUUGGUGACGUGGAAUGAAGGUGGUUGGGUGUGUGUGUGUGUGUGGCCUCGUAGAGGUCGGGAGAUGGGGGAAGAGUGUAUGAGUCACCGAUGUUGGUGACGAGAGUUAGUGGAUGAUUGUUGGGUGGGGGGGGGGUUGUUUGGCCGUGCUAUUGCCUUGGAAUGGGACCUUGAUAAUUAGUGUAGGGAGAGGGUUAUGAGUUGUUGGGGUUGGGUAGGAUAAAUGCAUAUAGACAUUUCUGGAAAUUCUUGUCACUGCAUAUCACACUUACAACUUGAUUUUUAUCGUAUUGAGUUAUGUGAACUCACUUCUCAUCAUUCACAGGUGGAGUAAGGACGGAAUUGGGAUCCGAGCGGCUGGUAACGGAGCCCCGUCGGUAGUGCCAUAGGGCACGAGUUUUGUUUGUGAUUUAAAGUAGUUUGAAAGGAUGGUUUAGUCUGGAUAUUGAAUAUCUAGGAAUGUUUGAUAUUGUGUUACUAUGUGUUGUAGAGGUGGAGAUGUAUGUACAAUUGAUUUGGAACAUGGAAGGUGGAUAAAUUUCUCUUGUGCAUGGUUGGAAUAAUAUGGAUUUCGGUAUUGUGUUGUAUGCGUGCUUUAUCGUACACCGUUAAGAAAAAA